UCCAGGAGGAACUGGGCGACUUUCCCGCCACCACCGUCUCACACCCGUAUUGCCCCGAGCUCCGUACCACACCCCCUUAGCGCAGGGCUGGUGUGUGUAAACCCAGUAGCAAUAGGUAACCAGAAUGCCUGCACAUACAAUGACAGCAACGUGCGAACACGGAUGUAUCCUGGAAGUGUAAACAAGCACAGAGCAAUAACAAACGCUGACUUCAGGACUGUGAUGACCACCUGUUGGAUGUGUGGCCAUGGACAUGCCCAAGCAUCCAUUGGUGACCACCGUAAACUGGACUGUCGGCCGUGCAGCUCCUAUCAGGAGCAGAUCCAAGAUCUGUGGGGCCUAAAGCAUCUGCAAGUCGGGGGAACUUCUUUAAGAAAGCAAAGUAAAUGUGAAAGUAAAUGUUUAUUUAGAGUGACAAAAGAAAUCCCAAGAAAUCCCAAAUUUUAUAAAGUUAACACCACAAACAUACAGAAAAUUUGUAUUUUUAUU